UACAGAGGGUGCAAGCGUUGUUCGGAAUUACUGGGCGUAAAGCGCGUGUAGGCUGCGAUGUAAGUCAGGCGUGAAAGCCCUCAGCUUAACUGAGGAAGUGCACUUGAUACUGCAUCGCUCGAGUGUCGGAGGGGUGGCGGAAUUCCCGGUGUAGAGGUGAAAUUCGUAGAUAUCGGGAGGAACACCUGUGGCGAAGGCGGCCACCUGGACGGACAACUGACGCUGAGACGCGAAAGCGUGGGUAGCAAACAGG
rnacentral:rRNA from 1 species